ensembl:misc_RNA Metazoa_SRP Metazoan signal recognition particle RNA
GCCAGGUGUGGUGGUGCACACCUGUAGUCUCAGCUCCUUGAGAGGCUGAGGCAUGAGGAUUGCUUGAGCCCAGGAGUCUGAGGCUGCAGUGAGCCAUGAUCACACUACUGCACUCCAGCCUGGGCAAAGAGUAAGACCCUGUCUCUA